rnacentral:ribozyme from 1 species
UUUAAUUUUUUUUGUUCUUUCAACGUCCCCCGAUUUGAAUCCCGAAGGCGCACGGGAUCGACAUAACGGUGGUGAAUGUGACAUGUGGCAGUGUCAGGCGAGCCAGAAAAAAAUAAAAUUCAGAAUCAUUAUCACAAUUAUAAUCAACAUGAAAAGAAAAGAAAAGAAAAGAAAAGA